UACAGAGGUCUCAAGCGUUGUUCGGAUUCAUUGGGCGUAAAGGGUGCGUAGGUGGCGUCGUAAGUCAGGUGUGAAAUUUCGGAGCUUAACUCCGAAACUGCAUUUGAUACUGCGGUGCUUGAGGACUGGAGAGGAGACUGGAAUUUACGGUGUAGCAGUGAAAUGCGUAGAGAUCGUAAGGAAGACCAGUGGCGAAGGCGGGUCUCUGGACAGUUCCUGACGGCUG
rnacentral:rRNA from 1 species